CGGGUGUAGCUCAAUGGUAGAGCCGCAGCUUCCCAAGCUGAAGACGAGGGUUCGAUUCCCUUCACCC
rnacentral:tRNA from 1 species